rnacentral:rRNA from 1 species
CAGUAGCCGCGGUAAUACAGAGGGUGCGAGCGUUAAUCGGAUUUACUGGGCGUAAAGCGUGCGUAGGCGGCUUCUUAAGUCGGAUGUGAAAUCCCUGAGCUUAACUUAGGAAUUGCAUUCGAUACUGGGAAGCUAGAGUAUUGGAGAGGAUGGUAGAAUUCCAGGUGUAGCGGUGAAAUGCGUAGAGAUCUGGAGGAAUACCGAUGGCGAAGGCAGCCAUCUGGCCUAAUACUGACGCUGAGGUACGAAAGCAUGGGGAGCAAACAGGAUUAGAUACCCCUGUAGUCCCUGUCUCUUAUAC